rnacentral:rRNA from 1 species
AACGAACGCUGGCGGCAUGCCUAACACAUGCAAGUCGAACGAGAUCCUUCGGGGUCUAGUGGCGGACGGGUGAGUAACGCGUGGGGACCUGCCCAGGGGUACGGAAUAACUACGGGAAACUGUAGCUAAUACCGUAUGAUGCCGAAAGGCCAAAGAUUUAUCGCCCUUGGAUGGACCCGCGUUGGAUUAGCUAGUUGGUGAGGUAAUGGCUCACCAAGGCGACGAUCCAUAGCUGGUUUGAGAAGAUGAUCAGCCACACUGGGACUGAGACACGGCCCAGACUCCUACGGGAGGCAGCAGUGGGGAAUAUUGGACAAUGGGCGAAAGCCUGAUCCAGCAAUGCCGCGUGAGUGAAGAAGGCCUUAGGGUUGUAAGGCUCUUUCAGAUGGGAAGAUAAUGACGGUACCAUCAGAAGAAGCCCCGGCUAACUCCGUGCCAGCAGCCGCGGUAU